UGUGUGUGUGUGUGUUUGUGUGAGUGUGUGUGCGCGUGCGUUUGUGUGUUUGUCUUCGUUAUCAAGGGGGAGCCCACCCACCUUACCCAACCCAACACUCGCUCCCAACCGAAGGAUGGGUUUGUGGUAGGGUGGGUGGUUGUGGUUGUAGUUGUGUGUGUGUGUUUGUGUGAGUGUGUGUGCGCGUGCGUUUGUGUGUUUGUCUUCGUUAUCAAGGGGGAGCCCACCCACCUGACCCAACCCAACACUCGCUCCCAACCGAAGGAUGGGUUUGUGGUAGGGUGGGUGGUUGUGGUUGUAGUUGUGUGUGUGUGUGUGUGUGUGUGUGUGUGUGUGUGUGUGUGUGUGUGUGUGUGUGUGUGUGCGUGCGUGUGUGUGUUUGUGUGUGUGUAAUAAUAAUAGUAAUAAAGGGUUUAUUGAGACAAGCAGCUCUGUAGCUGAAAAUAAACAUUUUACAGGAGAAAUAUCCUAAUAUUACAUGCUUAAAAUUCAUCACAAAUUUAGUCAGUGUCCACGAGUUAAUUAUUUUGAUUAUUGUGGGCACUGCACUAUUUUUGUAUGUGUGUAUCCGGGCCGGGCACGUAUGGGGAGCGGCUUCUGGUGGCGGACACUGUCGCUGGGAGGGGGAGCUGCCGGAGGGAGUAGGCUCCUGUGGCGCCAGUGGAGAAGCUUUGUGGGAAGCUGGUGGAGGAGGUGUUGGUAGCGAGUGUGAAGGGUGGUGAGGUGUAGGGUGUGGAGGGCCUCCUGGCUCAGGCGUGUAGAUGGGAGCAGGAGAAGAAAGAACAAAGGAAGAGGACGAAGAAGAAAGGAAAAAUGGAAGUGGAAGAAGAGGAGGAGCCAAGCCACAAUAUUUAGGUCCGCAGAAAACGACACGCUGAUUUAUUUGAAGUCAAGGAUGGAGAUUAAAACGGCCUUUAAAAACACCACACCCGUUUUGUCCACCGCCAUCACCACCUUCUCCCAGAUCAAGGAAGUGUAUUACGGACUCACACAAAAGGAAGAGGUCCGCAGAAAACGACACGCUGAUUUAUUUGAAGUCAAGGAUGGAGAUUAAAACGGCCUUUAAAAACACCACACCCGUUUUGUCCACCGCCAUCACCACCUUCUCCCAGAUCAAGGAAGUGUAUUACGGACUCACACAAAAGGAAGAGGUCCGCAGAAAACGACACGCUGAUUUAUUUGAAGUCAAGGAUGGAGAUUAAAACGGCCUUUAAAAACACCACACCUGUUUUGUCCACCGCCAUCACCACCUUCUCCCAGAUCAAGGAAGUGUAUUACGGACUCACACAAAAGGAAGAGGUCCGCAGAAAACGACACGCUGAUUUAUUUGAAGUCAAGGAUGGAGAUUAAAACGGCCUUUAAAAACACCACACCCGUUUUGUCCACCGCCAUCACCACCUUCUCCCAGAUCAAGGAAGUGUAUUACGGACUCACACAAAAGGAAGAGGUCCGCAGAAAACGACACGCUGAUUUAUUUGAAGUCAAGGAUGGAGAUUAAAACGGCCUUUAAAAACACCACACCCGUUUUGUCCACCGCCAUCACCACCUUCUCCCAGAUCAAGGAAGUGUAUUACGGACUCACACAAAAGGAAGAGCAGUUGUAUUGCACAGCCAAGGAGUUUGUCACAGCAUACCUAAGAAUGCACUUUAUUGUGUCUUGCAGGUUAGCACCCCUAUCACACAAAAAUGUGCAAUCUGAAAUGGAAAAGAAAAAUCUGAUACCAAAUCUAACACACACAAUCAUUCACAAAUAAGCACCACUCCAAUGCUUACCAUAAACUAAUUUGAAGCAAUAUCCCACUCAAUUAAAAACUCAAGAAAACUGCUUGUCCAGCUUUAUAUUCACCCUCGCGUUGGAUCUGGUAAAUUGAGGUUGUUAUUUAAGCCUCAUUAUCACUGCAAUAAAGUACUAAGCAUUAACCUGAACCACGUGACUCCUAUACUGAUCUCCGUUAAUAAUGAAAUACUAGCUUUGAUAAGCACACUACACUAA